rnacentral:rRNA from 1 species
ACAGCAGUCGCCACGGUAAUACAGAGGGUGCGAGCGUUAAUCGGAUUUACUGGGCGUAAAGCGUGCGUAGGCGGCUAAUUGAGUCGGAUGUGAAAUCCCCGAGCUUAACUUGGGAAUUGCAUUCGAUACUGGUUAGCUAGAGUGUGGGAGAGGAUGGUAGAAUUCCAGGUGUAGCGGUGAAAUGCGUAGAGAUCUGGAGGAAUACCGAUGGCGAAGGCAGCCAUCUGGCCUAACACUGACGCUGAGGUACGAAAGCAUGGGGAGCAAACAGGAUUAGAUACCCCAGUAGUCCCUGUCUCUUAUAC